AAGCAUAUGAGAUUAUCGUACUAUUGUCGCCCCAUUUUUUUGCUACAACUAUGUGGAGCCUCAAUAUCCAAAUGUUGUAGAAAAACAGUUCGAGAAACUUGAUGAUAUUAACUUGACCGAUGUUGGAUCUGAUUUGGGAGUGAUUAUUUCAAAGGGAAAUAAAGGCAAUAGUCCCAUCAAUUUUAAAGCACAUUUUAAAAAAGAGCUGAGACAAUGGGAGGAUAUCGAUAGGCGGUUUGCACAAAACUUCCAGACUAUUGAAGCAUCCACUUCCGAGACGGCAGGUGAUAUUGAAGCAUCCACUUCCGAGACGGCAAGUGAUCACCAAUCACCCAAUAUUGAGAAUAGCACUAGUGGAGGUGAUAUUGAAGCAUCCACUUCCGAGACGGCAAGUGAUCACCAAUCACCCAAUAUUGAGAAUAGCACUAGUGGAGGUGAUAUUGAAGCAUCCACUUCCGAGACGGCAAGUGAUCACCAAUCACCCAAUAUUGAGAAUAGCACUAGUGGAG